GGACGUAGUCACCCUCGUCGACGUAGCCACGAACGACAUCCGAGCUUCAGGAGAUCUGUACGUCCGACAGAGUUGCAAAAAAGUAAUUUUUUUAUAUAGAAAAAAAAAAGAGUGAAAUAUACACAAAAGAUGAAAAUAUAUAAAGAUUGGUUUUGAAAGCGAAAAUUAAGAUUUUGAAAAGCUAAUGUUUUAAGUUGCUUCUUUUUAUCGCAUCGAAUCGUCAUGUUUUUUUCUUCGAUUGACGUUCAAUUUAUGCGUGUUCUGUUUAUAAUCUGAAGUCUUGCUUUGAAGUCUGAUUCGCAGCCAGAAAAAUGUAUAUUUUUAAGAACGGUAUUCUUAGAAUGAAAUACAACUUGUACAUUCUGGAACUGGACUAUCGUGUCAAGGUAGCCAUCACUAACAACCAGAAUUUUUCUCGAAUAUCGCUCGAAAUUUAUUUCUACUGUCACGCUAAUUUAUCUAUGCAUUCUAUUAUUCAUAAUACUUUGCAUAUAAUUUUAUUGCUAUAUAAACAACAAGUAUAGAAGAUCUUCAAUAUCUAUCGUGAAAGUUGCAACAUUUUGAAAAAUAUAUAUUUAUUCGAUCUCUCUCAACAUUAACUUAUAAACUUUGCUCUUUAAAUUGAAAAUAUGCCGCGUUAUAUGCAUCAAGAAGAAAUGAAUUCCUCAAGUGUCUCUUAGAAUCGAUUUUUCUGUCAUCUAAUUCACGUCAUUUCUCGAUCACGAAAAGAGCACAAUGGGGAGCUCGUGAGGAGUGACGAUUUCCUCGCGUUUGUUUAUUCGCGACCGCAAUGUAUACAACAAUAAAUUCACGUUACGUCAGGUAUUACAUUGGCAGUUCCCCAGAGGAUUUUGCACAAUGGUCCACGUUCGAGUCCAGUGCCUAAGAAUACUCGUGCAAUAUGUAAUGCGGCGCGUGCGGAUCACCCAAUUAUCUGAGAUGAGGAAAAAGUGUGAUUCGCGAAAAAUAUAAUCGAAUUUCAUGAGAUUCUACAACAAUAUUGACACGAUUCUAUAUACAUGUCGCGACCUUCUUAUUAUCAUUCUCAUUCGAUUAUAUGAAAUGACGAACUAACGCGUUGAGUUUUAUCGAUGUUGAAACUCCAUAAUCUUGAAGGUACACGGUUGCAGAAUUCACGAUGAAACAUUCAUCGCGGGUCGAAAAUAACAUGGAGCAAUGACAUCGGAAUUUAAAAGUCCUUCUGAAAUUUCAAGAGAUCACCAAUGGAUUUUUAUUAAGUAUUCUUAUAAAUAGUUUUUAAAAUUUAAAUUGAGUUUGUAUAAAAAAUUAUUAUAUUCAAAUGACAUGAUAAAGAACAAGAAAAAAUACUAUAAAUAUAAUAAUAAAAUAUGAAAAUUGUUACAUAUGGGAUUUACAUUAAAUGAAAUAACAGUACAAACAUAAUUUAAUGGCUUAAAUGUUAUGCGAGGAGUUGACUGUGCUAAUUUUUACGCCAGGGAACGCCACCCAAAAUGAUAAAAAAUAAUUAAUAAAUUAUUUUUAUAAUUAUA